rnacentral:lncRNA from 1 species
AUGUGUCUGUGAAAACAGGGUCCUGUUAUGGACCCCUUGUUCUAUUAGCUCCAACUCUUGAGCUCCCAAGUGCCUCAUUUAGCCCCACACGAAGCUCACUGGAGGGGAGGAGCCAUGGCAGGCUCUCAGGAGAGGAGUGUGGGCUGAAGAUGCGCGUUGAUGAGAACCAGAGAGCCCCGUCAGGCCUCUAAGGUGAGACAGUGGCCAGGGGAGCUUGGAAUAUCUACUUGGUGGUCCACCGGUCCUAUGGUCCAGAGCUCUCCUACCCAGGAAUCUUGUAGCCUCUCUGAAUUCUGGGGUUCGCAUCAGCAGCUUUUAGUCAACCAGAAGCAGGACGACACCCUGGUCUGACUGAACACUCUGGAAGUAAUGCUUUCUCUCUUCAGUUGGCUGGAAUAUAUAGGUGAUGGCUGGCAGGUUUCCUCCAAAAACGCUCUUCGGGCUUCCACAGGUUGACUAGAAAGGUGCGGAGCAUCUGGCCUCAGGCAUGGAGACAGGAGGCGUUCCAUAAGCUUGCCACUUGAUAUGCCGCCUCAGAGAGGCAGCCAAGUGUGGUUAGGCUAUGGCCAUUCGCCCGAGUGCUAGGAAUCGCUGUUCUAGGAUUCUUUGAUUUUGUCUCAGCUGUCAUCUCUCUCAUGGCAUGACUCUCUUCAUCCCAGCCCUUCUGUGUGACUUCUUGGGAGAUCCUCACUGUCCAUGAGGGCACCAUGUUGCUACCACAACU